GGAAGAUGCUACAACUUUUCUCUAAAUAAAUUAUCGUGGAAUGCCAGCAGGAGCCGCUGCCAGAAGGAACAGGCCGAUCUAGUGGUCAUUAAUGAUCGGGAGGAGCAGGCCUUCCUCAGCAAGCGGCAAGGGCAGGUGGAUUAUUGGAUUGGUCUGACGGAUGUGGCCAAAGAAGGCUCCUGGAAGUGGGUGGAUGGCACUGACUUAAACCAAAUCAAGAAAUUUUGGUACCCUUCCCAGCCAGAUAAUCAUCAGGACAAGGAGGACUGUGCAUCUCUGACAGCCGAAAAAACCCCGCCGCAUAACUGGAAUGAUGCCCCAUGUGACCAACCUUUCCACUACAUCUGUGAAAAGGCAGCAGACACACUCAGCUUCCUCUGACUUGGAAAAUCUUGUUCAUUGCGGCCAAUGAUGCAGAAUCCCAGAAUGCCGCUGGGCUCUUCCCGAGCCUGUUAAUCUCCUGCUGGCCAAACACCCAGUAGAGGGUGCCGAGGACUCACCUUUGCAGCUGGCUUGGCAGAAGCCCCAGGCUGUCCAGCCCCGUUUUCCAAAGGGUAUUUUUGCCCAGAUCCACACAGGGACUUCGGUGCCUAAACCUAGGAGCUAAGCACUGACUGAGAUCCACAAAACCCCCACUCAGCUGUGGCCUAAACUUGUAGGCACCUAAAUUCACUUGUCACCUAAACUUUUCCUCUAAAAAUCCCUCUAGAAUCCUAAGUUUUCUACCUCUGGGCAUGCCCACUGCUGCAUCAGGCAGGCACCCAGUGCCUGGCUCCCAGCACACAGCAGGUGAAAAGGAAGGCUAAACUGUAUUAUAUGGUUCAGCCACUGGGUGAUCCUGUGUGUGUAACCCUUCUUGAAGCUAACCUCAGCCAUGCUUGGCAGUCCAUCAACGAUCGUGUAGUGAACGGGGCUGGUGUGAUCUGUCUGCGAAGGAAGCUCUGUAGAAAGGUGGUGCAGAAGCCUUACCUGCUGGAGGUAGCCCUGAACCGUAGUGUGACAAGGUGCAUGUGAUAUGGUGUCAGGAGUAAACUGGUGCCAGAGAGGAACACAAACAUGGCAGUCUCUGAGGGCUCCUGAUUCUGCACCAAAGGACCGGUGCAGGAGGAGGACUGAUAGGCGGUACGCCUGGGCUCAGAGUUAUCUCCCCAUGUAUUGAAUGGGCAGCCCAGCCGCCUAACCCAGGAUUUGUGGAUUCCUCUGCGUGGCUAGGUGCUUGAAAAUUAGGUGUUGCACCACCAAGGUCCCGUAGUAUAUCCAGGCCUUUAUGUACGCCUGGUUUUCCUUCCCCACCCCUGCUUUUUACAGCUGCACUUCGGUUUGGUUUUUCUUUUCUAAAUAAGAGACAAAGGGAGUCUAAUAAAAAGAAAGAGUUGGAGGAGGAAAUGUGGGAAAAUGCCAAGCCAGAUCUCUUCAGCUUUGCCCCUGCGUCCUGUCAGAAUCAGAGUCCCCGGUUUGCAUGUGUAUUUUGUGGUGGUGGUGAUCCCUGGCUCUUAGCGAUAAAGUGACUUACACAGGAAGUCAGCUUCUCAGUUUUACGGGGGGGGAAACUGAGGCAAAGUGACUUGCCAAAGGUCACCUAGCAGGCCAGUGGCAGCGAUGGGAAUAGAACUUGGCUCUAGUGAGUCCCAGUCCAGUGCUGUAUCCCCUAAAUCAGAGACCUGGGAUCUAUUAUCUGCUCUGCCGUGGACUUGAGCAAGUUGCCUCUCUCCGUGACUCAGUUUCCCCAUCUGUAUAAGAAUGGGGGAAUGAGGCUGUGAGACCACAGCAGUGUGUGUACAGAAUGCUUUGAGAAUGGCAGCACAGACUUAGCACCGCUUGCGCAAACACACUAUUGUCAAAGAAUACAAAGGUUUCAGAAUCAAGCACGUGACUGUGGGGAAAUGCCAGACUGGAAGCGGCUUGUUGCGCAGUGCGAGUGGAGACCUGAUCGCCUGCAGCAGCAAACCAGGAACCAGUGAUGAACGCCAGAGAGAGAUGGGAUUUGAUGACUUGAGAGCUGCUACCCUGGACAAAUCUGAAUGGGUUUUCAGUGAUACAAACCACUUCCCUGGCCUAGUCCCCAGCCACACUUCUGGGAGGAGAUUUGCAUAGCCCUUGUAAGUAGGACUUUCCCAAGACCCUGAUUCAGCUCUUCUGCAGUAGGAAGCACCUGCAGCAAAUGGUCACACCCCGCACCAAGCUGCGGUUCCUGAAGGUCACAGUUUCCUCAGUGUGUAAUAGCAAUGGGGCCGCGUGACACCAACUCCUGUACAAGGUCAACACAUUCUCUUCUCCCUCCCCCGCUCCCGUGACUCAGUUGUUCUUGAGACACUGAGAUUUGGCCAAAACACGUGGAAGGCCUUGCAGAUAAAGGCUUAGAGCCGAGCAUGAAGUGUAAUGGCCACAGACAUCUUUCCUGGGGAUGCAUUUCACAACCGUGGGCUCCAGCUGAAAAUGACCUUUGGCACUGCUGCAAUCUAUGCUGCUCACGGCUGUGCGGGUGAACGAUCAAGGAACAUUCAAGCAAUCGUUAAAACCAGGGUAACUCCGGAACAACUUCCUAACCAACCGCUUGAGGAGCGCCGGUUACAAGGGGCAGCUACAGGCUCCAGCCCUUGAAGAGGCUUUUGGCUUAUCGAAAAAAGCCAGCAUGGCUCCUUUCUCUAUAAAAUAAGACUUAGCUGCAUCCCACUCUCACGAAGGGGAGGGUGAAAUGCCCUGAGGCUUCCCCAAAGCGUGAGAAUGAGAACGAGCUGAUGGGGAACCAGCAGGAAGACCUCAAAGGAAGGAAGUGGCAUUUUGAAAUUCUAGCUGUUUGUCCUUUACUAACUCGGCAUGCAAUCCAGGUGUUGCACAGACCCAGCUUUUCCAACCCCUGCGUGUUUCAUAGGCCCAGCUGCUGCGUGUCUAAGGCAGUGUGGUCUCAGACGGGGAUGCUCUUCUCUCUAGGUCAAGCCUGUGAGCUCCAGCAGGAGGGCAGACCUGGCUUCUGACUUUUGGUGCUUUUUAAAAUCAGACCAUUUCUGUGACUUCAUUAGGGUGAUGGAAUUUGAGGGGGCAGGUGAGCAGUGCUCUG